AUUGAACGCUGGCGGCAGGCCUAACACAUGCAAGUCGAGCGAGAGGCGGACGGGUGAGUACUGUCUGGGACACUGCCUGAUGGAGGGCGAUAUCUACUGGAAACGGUAGCUAAUACCGCAUACCCUCAGAUGUGCCCAUAUGGGAUUAGCUAGUAGGUGGGGUAACGGCUCACCUAGGCGACGAUCCCUAGCUGGUCUGAGAGGAUGACCAGCCACACUGGAACUGGGACACGGUCCAGACUCCUACGGGAGGCAGCAGUGGGGAAUAUGGCACUAUGGGCGCAAGCCUGAUGCAUCCAUGCCGCGUGUGUGAAGAAGUCCUUCGGGUUGUAAAGCACUUUCAGCGGGGAGGCGUUACCCGCAGAAGAAGCACCGGCUAACUCCGUGCCAGCAGCCGCGGUAAUAC
rnacentral:rRNA from 1 species